UGCGUAGGCGGCUUUCUAAGUCGGAUGUGAAAACUCUGGGCUCAACCCAGAGCCUGCAUCCGAAACUGGAGAGCUAGGGUUCUGGAGGGGAAAGCGGAAUUCCUGGUGUAGCGGUGAAAUGCGUAGAUAUCAGGAGGAACACCGGUGGCGAAGGCGGCUUUCUGGACAGAUACCGACGCUGAGGCACGAAAGCUAGGGGAGCAAACA
rnacentral:rRNA from 1 species